rnacentral:rRNA from 1 species
AUACGUAGGGCGCAAGCGUUAAUCGGAAUUACUGGGCGUAAAGCGUGCGCAGGCGGUUUUGUAAGACAGAGGUGAAAUCCCCGGGUUCCACCGGGGCACUGCCUUUUUGACUGCAAAGCUAGAGAACGGCAAAGGGGGAUGGAAUUCCGCGGGAGGCAGUGAAAUGCGUAGACAUGCGGAGGAACACCGAUGGCGAAGGCAAUCCACUGGGCCUGUACUGACGCUCAUGCACGAAAGCGUGGGGAGCAAACAGGAUUAGAUACCAUGGUAGUCCACGCCCUAAACGAUGUCAACUGGUUGUUGGGUCUUCAUUGACUCAGUAACGAAGCUAACGCGUGAAGUUGACCGCCUGGGGAGUACGGCCGCAAGGUUGAAACUCAAAUGAAUUGGCGGGG